rnacentral:lncRNA from 1 species
UUUUCUGCAUGUCACUUUCCUUUUCCUGUUCAUAGACACUCUAUGACCAUGGGACAGUGCUGGAGUAUCUCUGAAUCUAAUCUUGUUUGAAGGCUGCCUGGUAAGCUAAUCUUGCCAUCUCUUUGUCCGUUGCCUGCGAGAAUGUUUGGAGUCUCUCAAAUUGAAUCCAGUUACUUCGUAGCAGGUCCAGCCUUGUCAAUGCCAAUAAACAUGGUCCAACAAAAAGGAAAUAAGUAAUACAGUCAGUCUAAAGAAGAAAACUGGCAGGUCUGCCAUGCAUUUUAUGCUGACCACUGCGCUUCUACUAAUUUAGACUAAAGUCACAUGAACUACUUCGGCAUUUACGUCAAAAUGUUAAGUCAUUGAUGUUUGUGUCAACUGAAGUCCAUAAGAAUUUUUGUUUUAAUAUAAUCUGCUGUUACGGCCAUUUGGUUCUUUGAAAUUAAUUUCAUGGCUUUCACUUGCAGUUAUUAGAGGUCACUUGUCAGAUGUGGUCUAUUUUUCUAGUCUGUCAAAAUCAUCUUUGUGUCACAAUUUUGUUCUCUAAUGUUUCAUGUUAACAAAAAUAUAUCUAUAUGCUAUCUAUAUGCUAAAAUUAAGCCAAUGAUAAAUAUAUUCAAUAAACAAAGGUCAAGUUUAAAAUAUAAUUUAUUAUUAUUAUUUUGAAUACCCUUAUUCAAAAAUUACAUCCACAGUUUAAAAAUAUUUUAUUACUGCAGAGCAAGCACCAUGUUAAGCAUGAUUUCCCCUUGAAAUUAAAUACCCUUAUUCAGAAAACAUAUAUAUAUACACAUAUUCAUUUAUAUUGUAUGUAUAGUUCUUGUUCUAUCAUAUAUUUAGAUAGUUUUCAGUAUUUCCCAAAUAGGCUUACAAAAUAUUAGGUUUAUUCCAUCAUUUUUGUCAUAAAAUCCUUUUAAAAUGAUAUUUAAGAAUGUAUCAAUGUUAACGCUGUCUGAUAAUGAAACCAUUAUUAUUUACACAAAAACUUCAUGAAGAUAGCUAAACAGACAAACAAACUCUCCCUAACUGAAGUAAAAACUAACAUACAAAUUGAUGCUAAAGUCAUGAAAGAAAAAGAGAUGACCUAUGCAAAGGAAAUCUAUGCUCAAGAUUUCUGUAAGUCUGUCAGGUCAGAAAAUAGAACAUGCAGCAAACAUGAAAAUGAACCUUCUUCUACCUUUUAUAGAAUAUGUUAGUUCACUGAUGUUGAAAGAACAAUAUAUUUAAAUUAGUAACAUCAAUACUAAAUAAAAAAUUCUGUUGAUUAUUUUAUUUUUUAAAUUAAAAUGUUGAUUAAAAGCAUCAAUUAUUUAAAAUAAUAGUAAAAU